rnacentral:rRNA from 1 species
UACGGAGGGGGCUAGCGUUGUUCGGAAUUAUUGGGCGUAAAGGGCGCGUAGGCGGCCGAAUAAGUCAUACGUGAAAUCCCUCAGCUUAACUGGGGAACUGCGUCUGAUACUGGUUGGCUUGAGUGCAGGAGAGGAACGCGGAAUUCCAGGUGUAGCGGUGAAAUACGUAGAUAUCUGGAGGAACACCGGUGGCGAAGGCGGCGUUCUGGACUGCAACUGACACUGAGGAACGAAAGCCAGGGGAGCAAACGGG